AAAGGAAUUGACGGAAGGGCACCACCAGGGGUGGAGCCUGCGGCUUAAUUUGACUCAACACGGGGAAACUCACCAGGUCCAGACACAAUGAGGAUUGACAGAUUGAGAGCUCUUUCUUGAUUUUGUGGGUGGUGGUGCAUGGCCGUUCUUAGUUGGUGGAGUGAUUUGUCUGCUUAAUUGCGAUAACGAACGAGACCUUAACCUGCUAAAUAGCCCGUACUGCUCCGGCAGUGCGCCGGCUUCUUAGAGGGACUAUCGGCUCAAGCCGAUGGAAGUUUGAGGCAAUAACAGGGCUGUGAUGCA
rnacentral:rRNA from 1 species